UAGGGAAUCUUCCACAGUGGGCGCAAGCCUGAUGGAGCAACACCGCGUGAGUGAAGAAGGGUUUCGGCUCGUAAAGCUCUGUUGUUAAAGAAGAACACGUAUGAGAGUAACUGUUCAUACGUUGACGGUAUUUAACCAGAAAGUCACGGCUAACUACGUGCAAG
rnacentral:rRNA from 1 species